GAUGAACGCUGGCGGCGUGCCUAAUACAUGCAAGUCGAGCGAACAGAUGAGGAGCUUGCUCCUCUGACGUUAGCGGCGGACGGGUGAGUAACACGUGGAUAACCUACCUAUAAGACUGGGAUAACUUCGGGAAACCGGAGCUAAUACCGGAUAAUAUAUUGAACCGCAUGGUUCAAUAGUGAAAGACGGUUUUGCUGUCACUUAUAGAUGGAUCCGCGCCGCAUUAGCUAGUUGGUAAGGUAACGGCUUACCAAGGCAACGAUGCGUAGCCGACCUGAGAGGGUGAUCGGCCACACUGGAACUGAGACACGGUCCAGACUCCUACGGGAGGCAGCAGUAGGGAAUAUUCCGCAAUGGGCGAAAGCCUGACGGAGCAACGCCGCGUGAGUGAUGAAGGUCUUCGGAUCGUAAAGCUCUGUUAUUAGGGAAGAACAAAUGUGUAAGUAACUAUGCACGUCUUGACGGUACCUAAUCAGAAAGCAACGGCUAACUACGUG
rnacentral:rRNA from 1 species